CCUACGGGUGACAGCAGUGGGGAAUAUUGGGCAAUGGGCGCAAGCCUGACCCAGCAACGCCGCGUGAAGGAAGAAGGCCCUCGGGUUGUAAACUUCUUUUAUCAGGGACGAAGCAAGUGACGGUACCUGAUGAAUAAGCCACGGCUAACUACGUGCCAGCCGCCGCGGUAAUACGUAGGUGGCAAGCGUUAUCCGGAUUUACUGGGUGUAAAGGGCGUGUAGGCGGGAAAGCAAGUCAGAGGUGAAAACCACGGGCUCAACCUGUGGCCUGCAUUUGAAACUGUUUUUCUUGAGUACUGGAGAGGCAGACGGAAUUCCUAGUGUAGCGGUGAAAUGCGUAGAUAUUAGGAGGAACACCAGUGGCGAAGGCGGUCUGCUGGACCGCAACUGACGCUGAGGCGCGAAAGCGUGGGGAGCAAACAGGAUUAGAUACCCCAGUAGUC
rnacentral:rRNA from 1 species